GAGCGGCGAACGGGUGAGUAACACGUGAGUAACCUGCCCCUGACUCUGGGAUAAGCCCGGGAAACUGGGUCUAAUACCGGAUACGACACCUCCUGGCAUCGGGUGGGUGUGGAAAGUUUUUCGGUUGGGGAUGGACUCGCGGCCUAUCAGCUUGUUGGUGGGGUAAUGGCCUACCAAGGCGACGACGGGUAGCCGGCCUGAGAGGGCGACCGGCCACACUGGGACUGAGACACGGCCCAGACUCCUACGGGAGGCAGCAGUGGGGAAUAUUGCGCAAUGGGCGAAAGCCUGACGCAGCGACGCCGCGUGGGGGAUGACGGCCUUCGGGUUGUAAACCUCUUUCAGCAGGGACGAAGUUGACGUGUACCUGCAGAAGAAGCGCCGGCUAACUACGUGCCAGCAGCCGCGGUAAUACGUAGGGCGCAAGCGUUGUCCGGAAUUAUUGGGCGUAAAGAGCUCGUAGGUGGCUUGUCACGUCGGGUGUGAAAGCUUGGGGCUUAACUCCAGGUCUGCAUUCGAUACGGGCUGGCUAGAGGUAGGUAGGGGAGAACGGAAUUCCU
rnacentral:rRNA from 3 species